GUUUUCCAUCUCCCAUAUGAAGUUAUUUGGGGCACUGGAUCACAUGACUGGGCAUCGAGGUAAAGCACCUUGGAAGGUGGGCUUAGUUUAUUUAACUGAAAGCCGGCCGAGGUAAGAUGAUUGUUCUCCAAAGCUGUAAGUGCAUAAAGAUUGAUCAGGAAGGAGUUUCUACGUGGGGCUCACUCGGGGCUUGGCCCGAGGGACCACGUGUAGGAGAGCUUUCCAGGAACAGACUAUACCCCGGCGUGAAGACGACCAGUUCAGUCCUAGGAUUAUUGAUUUAUCUUUGUGCAUCUACUGAUCUUCCAGUCAAGUGACAGAGAAGUGACAGAGAAGCAGGUCUCGGAUUGUGGGUUUCAGCACUUGCUACGUCUACACCAGUGUCCUGCUGAGCUUCAGUGAGGAGGCUGUCCAAGCCAACUCAAACUACUACUCACAGAUACUCCAGGACUCAGGGAAGGACAUGUUGGGUCCGUGACAUUACGACCUUCUCCUUGAUAUUCCACCAGGACGUCCGAUCGCCAAGUCACAUUACUGACACCUGUC